CGGGGCGUCGCGCUGCUCAUUCAUCCAGCGGCACUUUCUUUUCCAUUUCCACCCAUCCUUCUCCAUUUCCUUCUCCCUUUCCCCGCCAGCUUUGCAUCUCUGUCCCUCACCCCGUCACCCUCUCCUGCAUCCAUCCACCGGGGCUAUGGCCGCAGAAGAGGUAUUGCAGACGGUGGACCAUUAUAAGACUGAGAUAGAGAGGCUGACCAAGGAGCUCACGGAGACCACCCAUGAGAAGAUCCAGGCUGCUGAGUACGGGCUGGUGGUGCUGGAGGAGAAGCUGACCCUCAAACAGCAGUAUGACGAGCUGGAGGCUGAGUACGACAGCCUCAAACAGGAGCUGGAGCAGCUCAAAGAGGCAUUUGGGCAGUCCUUCUCCAUCCACCGGAAGGUUGCUGAGGAUGGAGAGACGCGGGAGGAAACGCUUCUGCAGGAGUCAGCAUCGAAGGAGGCUUACUAUCUGGGGAAAAUCUUGGAGAUGCAGAACGAGCUGAAACAGAGCCGGGCUGUGGUCACUAACGUACAGGCAGAAAAUGAGAGGCUCACCGCGGUCGUGCAGGAUCUGAAGGAGAACAAUGAGAUGGUGGAGCUACAGAGAAUACGGAUGAAGGAUGAAAUCCGAGAAUAUAAGUUCCGGGAGGCCCGACUCCUUCAGGACUAUACUGAAUUGGAAGAAGAAAAUAUCACAUUGCAGAAACUAGUGUCCACAUUGAAGCAGAACCAGGUUGAAUAUGAAGGCUUAAAGCAUGAGAUUAAGCGAUUUGAGGAGGAGACAGUGCUGCUGAACAGCCAGCUGGAGGAUGCCAUCCGACUGAAAGAGAUUGCUGAGCACCAACUGGAAGAAGCCCUCGAGACUUUGAAAAAUGAAAGAGAGCAAAAGAACAGCCUGCGGAAGGAGCUCUCCCAGUACAUCAGCCUCAACGAUAACCAUAUCAGCAUCUCAGUAGAUGGACUCAAAUUUGCUGAGGAUGGGAGUGAACCAAACAAUGAUGAUAAAAUGAAUGGGCAUAUCCAUGGGCCUCUUGUGAAACUGAAUGGAGACUAUCGGACUCCCACCUUAAGGAAAGGAGAGUCUCUGAACCCUGUCUCUGACUUAUUCAGUGAGCUGAACAUUUCAGAAAUACAGAAAUUGAAGCAGCAGCUUAUGCAGGUAGAGCGGGAAAAGGCCAUUCUUUUGGCCAACCUACAGGAGUCACAGACACAGCUGGAACACACCAAGGGGGCACUGACGGAGCAGCAUGAGCGGGUGCACCGGCUCACAGAGCACGUCAAUGCCAUGAGGGGCCUGCAAAGCAGCAAGGAGCUCAAGGCUGAGCUGGACGGGGAGAAGGGCCGGGACUCAGGGGAGGAGGCUCAUGAUUAUGAGGUGGACAUCAAUGGCUUAGAGAUUCUUGAAUGCAAAUACAGGGUGGCAGUAACUGAGGUGAUUGAUCUGAAAGCAGAAAUUAAGGCCUUAAAGGAGAAAUAUAAUAAAUCUGUAGAAAACUACACUGACGAGAAGGCCAAAUAUGAGAGUAAAAUUCAGAUGUAUGAUGAGCAGGUGACAAACCUUGAGAAGACCACCAAGGAGAGUGGGGAGAAGAUGGCCCACAUGGAGAAGGAGUUGCAAAAGAUGACCAGCAUAGCCAACGAAAAUCACAAUACCCUUAAUACGGCCCAGGAUGAGUUAGUGACAUUCAGUGAGGAGUUAGCUCAGCUUUACCACCACGUGUGUCUGUGUAAUAAUGAAACUCCCAACAGGGUCAUGCUGGAUUACUAUAGGCAGAGCAGAGUCACCCGCAGUGGCAGCCUGAAAGGGCCUGAUGAUCCCAGAGGACUUUUGUCCCCACGAUUAGCCAGGCGGGGAGUGUCAUCCCCAGUAGAAACAAGGACCUCAUCUGAACCAGUUGCAAAAGAAAACACAGAGGCCAGCAAAGAACCAAGCCCAACUAAGACCCCCACAAUCUCUCCUGUUAUUACUGCCCCACCAUCAUCUCCAGUAUUGGAUACAAGUGACAUCCGCAAAGAGCCAAUGAAUAUCUACAACCUUAAUGCCAUAAUCCGGGACCAAAUCAAGCAUCUGCAGAAAGCUGUGGACCGGUCCUUGCAACUGUCUCGCCAAAGAGCAGCAGCUCGGGAGCUAGCCCCCAUGAUUGAUAAAGACAAGGAAGCCUUAAUGGAAGAGAUCCUCAAGCUCAAGUCCCUGCUGAGCACCAAACGGGAGCAGAUCGCCACAUUGAGGGCAGUGCUGAAAGCCAACAAGCAGACAGCUGAGGUGGCGCUAGCUAAUCUCAAGAACAAAUAUGAAAAUGAAAAAGCAAUGGUGACUGAGACCAUGACAAAGCUUAGAAAUGAACUGAAGGCUUUGAAAGAAGAUGCUGCAACCUUCUCAUCCCUGAGAGCAAUGUUUGCAACAAGAUGUGAUGAAUAUGUCACCCAGUUGGAUGAGAUGCAGAGACAGUUAGCAGCCGCAGAGGAUGAGAAGAAGACUCUAAACACUUUGUUACGAAUGGCUAUCCAGCAAAAACUCGCCCUGACCCAGAGGCUGGAGGACUUAGAGUUUGACCAUGAGCAGUCCCGACGCAGCAAAGGCAAACUUGGAAAGAGCAAGAUCGGCAGCCCUAAAGUAAGUGGGGAGGCAUCAGUCACCGUGCCCACCGUAGACACUUACCUCCUGCAUAGUCAGGGCCCACAGACACCCAACAUUCGGGUCAGCAGUGGCACUCAGAGGAAAAGGUAUGCAUGCAGCAAUCUUCAUGGUACGGUGCAGUGGCCAGAUUUUAGUUAACUGCAAAAAUGAAUGUGCUCUUGUUGUGGAGGAUGGAGGAGGGGAAGGAAAAGAAAAAACGGGAGCUGGCCUAUAAAUGGGCCUUGCUAACGUGGGUCUUUCCAGAUCAAAACCUUUUUGAUAACUGUGUUUAUGUAGUCCUUUCUAACCCCCUGCCCAACCUCUCCUCUUGAUUAAUCGUAAUAUAAUUUUCAAGUGUCUGUUAAUAUUUUUGCUACUCUUUGUAUAUAUAAAUAUGCCUCUCCCUUACCUCCAACCUAAGAAUUGGUAGAUAAAGUUGGAUAUUAAGAAUCAAGCUGUGUUCUACCUGGGUUCUAAUUUUAAAAGUCAUUGUACCUUUGGAAAUGGUGCUGUUUAUCAGCUUCUCUUUAACGGGGCAAGGAUAUGAAUCUGUUCUUUUAGGGAAACUUUUGUCCAUUUGACCAAAACUGAUGACGGACUGAAAGUGGGUGUCUAUAUUUAGAUUAAAUGGGAUGGAAUACGCAUAGUCCUUUUCUUGAAAGCAGGUUUUUGAGCUUUUUCGUUUGGCGUGGGAAUAUUGCCCAGAGAAACCACUUGUAAGGUUUUUAGGGGCUUGAUUUUGUGACCUCUUUCCAGAGUCCUGGCUGUUGAGUUACUUACCCUGUAUUUUCGAUUAAUGGUAACAUUUUUAUUUUAGGAGCUUUCGUUAAAGACUCAAAUAAUAUAUUUUCCAUUUGUGGUUGAAACUGACUAACUUUAAUAAAUCUCUUUUCCAGUAUCCAGAGCAGUUUCCAAAUAGGGUUGUAUCCUGAUGUGGAAACUUAAAAAAAAAAAAAAAAAAAAAAAGCAAAACUCUUGAUUUACAUAUUAAAAAAAUUAAAUGCCGGUAUAAAUAAUGUUGUCACUGGUGAGGCAUUGAAAGGUAAUUAAAGUAAAACUUUUUUGUUUCCUAUAUGUAUUUUUCUUGGAUCUCCUGCAAGACAAUUUUCACCUUCCCUUUGUGAUCAGAGCCGUCCCAGGACUUCAGGGGCUUCCUACCUACAGAAUUUAUUAAGAGUUCCCCCUGAUCCCACCUCCACAGAAUCAUUUCUUCUGAAGGGCCCCCCUUCCAUGAGUGAAUUCAUCCAAGGGCAUCGGCUCAGCAAGGAAAAAAGGUUAACCGUGGCUCCACCAGAUUGUCAGCAGCCUGCUGCCUCCGUACCGCCACAGUGCUCACAACUAGCCGGGAGGCAAGACUGCCCGACUGUCAGUCCUGACACAGCUCUCCCUGAGGAGCAGCCACAUUCCAGCUCCCAGUGUGCCCCUCUCCACUGUCUCUCCACGCCUCCCCACCCCUAGUCUUCAUCUCCUGUGGACGGACAUCUGGGGAGGAAGUUUUGUAGCCACACACAGGAUACUGCCCAAGAUCCAGCGGGUGUUUUCUUCUUGGCGGUUAGAUGUACAAUUGGAUUACUGUCCAUUGCUUUGGAAGACAAGAGAAAGUUGAGAAGAACACGAAGCACAGACCCUGAUGUGAUAAAACAUUUUGUGGUUUCUCUGAGUCUCAGAUAAACUUCUGCCAUUAAAUGGCUACAGUUUAUUUAAAUAAAAAAAAAAAAAAGAAACAGGAGACAUGUGUCAGAUGGCUGGCCUUACCUCGAUAGCAUAAGAGAGACCUAAGAUGUGUAAAAUACAUAUAUUGUAAUAUCAUCUUUCCUCACACUCCAAAUUCAGCUAGGGAAGUUGAUUCCAAUAUUUUUGUCAUUGAUAUUUAUUUUGUACUUUAUUUGCUACAUGAUUUAUGUCUAUAAAAAUAAUUUCUCUGAGGUGAAUUUAAUUCAUUUAUUUUCAGAUAUUUGCUCAAUUAAGUAUGAGUUUGAAUUUAGUUUGAAAUCUGGAAUUGGCCAGACUGUGGUCAUUUUUCUUGCACAAAAUGAUAAAUGAGGUGCAUCAGAAUGUUAACAGUAACUGUAUUUUGCUGCUACGCUGGUAUUGUUUAUGCACUUAUUUUCUAAUCAUUAACUGCUGGGUUUUGCUUUUGUAUUUUUAACUAGAGUUCUUCACUGGACAUUACUAAGUAAAUCUAAGGAAGAAACUAUGUUAUGAUUUAUUGACUUAUUCAAGUUUUGAUGGCAUCUUUAAUUUUACUUUUUCAUUGCAGUUGAGUAGAUGUACUGGUGCUGCUCCUUUGUAUGUGUGUAUGUGUGUGACAGUGUUAAAGAAGGCUCUAUAACUUGAAGGGGAAAAAACAUGGUGUGUUUAUUUAAUUACCAGAAUUUUUUUUACUUCUCCUAAAAUCAGGGUCCUACUAUGAGUCUUUCCUGAUAAAAGGUAUCAAGUACAAAUGGGAAAAUAUAUACAUACCUAGAUGUAAGAUAGCCUUUGAUUAAUUAAUUUACCCAGAGAGUGUUCAAAGUGUUUGAUUAAAGUUGUAUGUUUUGUUGUUGUUAGGUUUUUUUCAUAACAAAUCUUCCUUGCCAAAAAAAAAAAAAAAA